CUAUGGGGAUGGGCCCCGCGGUGCAUUAGCUAGUCGGCAAGGUAAAGGGCUUACCAAGGCGAUGAUGCAUAGCCCGAGUUGAGAGACUGAUCGGGCCACAUUGGGGACUGAGACACGGGCCCAAACUCCUACGGGAGGCAGCAGUAGGGAAUCUUCCACAAUGGACGCAAGUCUGAUGGAGCAAACGCCGCGUGAGUGAAGAAGGUUUUCGGAUCGUAAAAAGCUCUGUUGUUGGUGAAGAAGGAUAGAGGUAGUAACUGGCCCUUUAUUUGACGGUAAUCAACCCAGAAAGUCACGGGCUAACUACGUGCCCAGCAGCCGCGGUAAAU
rnacentral:rRNA from 1 species